rnacentral:rRNA from 1 species
AGAUUGAACGCUGGCGGCAGGCCUAACACAUGCAAGUCGAGCGGCAGCACGGGUACUUGUACCUGGUGGCGAGCGGCGGACGGGUGAGUAAUGCCUAGGAAUCUGCCUGGUAGUGGGGGAUAACGCUCGGAAACGGACGCUAAUACCGCAUACGUCCUACGGGAGAAAGCAGGGGACCUUCGGGCCUUGCGCUAUCAGAUGAGCCUAGGUCGGAUUAGCUAGUUGGUGAGGUAAUGGCUCACCAAGGCGACGAUCCGUAACUGGUCUGAGAGGAUGAUCAGUCACACUGGAGCUGAGACACGGUCCAGACUCCUACGGGAGCAGCAGUGGGGAAUAUUGGACAAGUGGGACGAAAGCCUAGACUCCAGCCAUCGCCGCGUGUG